UACAGAGGUCUCAAGCGUUGUUCGGAUUCAUUGGGCGUAAAGGGUGCGUAGGUGGCGCCGUAAGUCAGGUGUGAAAUUUCGGAGCUUAACUCCGAAACUGCAUUUGAUACUGCGGUGCUUGAGGACUGGAGAGGAGACUGGAAUUCACGGUGUAGCAGUGAAAUGCGUAGAUAUCGUGAGGAAGACCAGUGGCGAAGGCGGGUCUCUGGACAGUUCCUGACACUAAGGCACGAAAGCCAGGGGAGCGAACGGG
rnacentral:rRNA from 1 species